CAUCGUUUACAUCUGCACCAAUUACAUUGAAAUAUUUAGCUUCAAAUCCUUAUGAAGUUUCAUCGGUGUUAUAAGUAUAAGUAAAAUACGUUAUCAUUUUUAAUAUCAUUAUUAUCGUAGGUUGUAAUUCAACAGCGGAUCACUAUGACUGUAGGAAUCCUCUGAUUAAUUAAAACUUUGGUCUGAAAAACAACCGAUUAAUUCAUGAAUUUGAUGGCAUUUUGGGCGUUCAACGAAAUCAGUGAAUUUUUACUUCUAUUACCUGUAGGUCAUAAACCUAUGUCCACUCUUGAAAUUUCAUAUUGACCGGUGAAAAACUCUCCGAGCAAAAUGGCAUACAAACAGACAGGACGAAAGUAGUUAAUGUUUUCUAGUAAUAAAAACAAGAUUUACUUCCUUCAAUAUAGUUUCUUAUAGCCUUAUUUGUAAAGAUUAACUGAAAAUACAGUAACGUCCUUAAAAAGAUUCUGAAAGUUAAACAAUGUUACAGAUACUGGGUUUAAUUUUGGUUGACGAAAAAAAAGUUUUGCUGUACAAUACAUCGAAUAUUAAUAUUGGUGCAACUAGGGAAUUUUCCUAGAAGAUGCAACGACGGUGAUUUCGAUGAAUUUGUUAAACGGGAGAUUACAUUUGAACUAGUGUUGGAUGUCAAACUAAUAAUUUUGAAAAAGUUGAUUUACAUUUAACCCAACGCUUAUCUACCUACAAAUUGAAAAUACGACCGAAAUUGGAAAUGACAAAAAAUAAAGUGAUGUUGUUUAAUAAGACAGGUUUUUAGAGAGACAAAACUCCUAAUCCCUUAUUUUCACCGAAGUUUCCCAUGCAUUUUUACGCACCAUCAUUUUGGUAAGGAGACGUGGAAUUUUGAUUAUGGGCUAAACACGUAAUAAUAAUUAUAAAAGAACUCAGCAAUUGAAUUUUUCAGUUUGUUUUUAUAAUUGUCUUAUACAUAUAAUGCCGGUCGUGUUCGAUUUUUACGUCUCCUUCCUUAAUUCCUGUAUUAUACUAUGACCAAAACAUUUUUAUUUAUCAAGUAGAUUUUGUAAUAUUAUUGAUUUGAUUGAGUUCGCAUGCUUUAGUAGCUGUUGUAUUA
rnacentral:lncRNA from 1 species